GAGGCUGAGGAAGUAGCGGUGUUGGGGAGGUGAAGGUGGAGCUCAGCUGAGCCGCAGCCGUCAGCGUUGACGAGUGACGAGUGCCUACUAAUGGCGGAAUUUCCGUCACAAAUUGACCAAAUCCAUCAAAUUUUACAGGAUUUUAAAGGAACUAGCAAGGACAGACGCGGCGCCCAGCCAAGAGUUGAAGAAUGGAGGAUGUUUUCUUGUUAAACUACAAUGGUGAUGUGGAGGUGUAAUAGUAAAUGGCCGAUAAGCAAUACGUUAAAAAAUACAUUGUUAUGUAUUGUGGGAAAAUCUAAGGCACGAAACUGAUCA